rnacentral:rRNA from 1 species
UAAGACGAACCGUGCGAACGUUGUUCGGAAUCACUGGGCUUAAAGGGCGCGUAGGCGGGUCACCAAGUCCGGGGUGAAAUCUUUCGGCUCAACCGGAAAAUAGCCUUGGAUACUGGUGGUCUCGAGGGAGGUAGGGGCAUGUGGAACUUCCGGUGGAGCGGUGAAAUGCGUUGAUAUCGGAAGGAACGCCGGUGGCGAAAGCGACGUGCUGGAUCUCUUCUGACGCUGAUGCGCGAAAGCUAGGGGAGCAAACGGGAUUAGAUACCCCGGUAGUCCUAGCCCUAAACGAUGGGUACUAGGUAGUGGACUUGACAUGGGUUCACUGCCGAAGCAAAAGUGUUAAGUACCCCGCCUGGGGAGUAUGGUCGCAAGGCUG